rnacentral:rRNA from 1 species
CCUACGGGUGGCUGCAGUGGGGGAUAUUGCACAAUGGGGGGAACCCUGAUGCAGCGACGCCGCGUGGGCGAUGGAGUGCUUCGGCGCGUAAAGCCCUAUCAGCAGGGAAGAAAAUGACGGUACCUGACUAAGAAGCCCCGGCUAACUACGUGCCAGCAGCCGCGGUAAUACGUAGGGGGCAAGCGUUAUCCGGAUUUACUGGGUGUAAAGGGGGCGUAGGCGGCCUGGCAAGCCAGAUGUGAAAGCCCGGGGCCCAACCCCGGGGCUGCAUUGGGAACUGCCAGGCUGGAGUGCCGGAGGGGCAGGCGGAAUUCCUAGUGUAGCGGUGAAAUGCGUAGAUAUUAGGAGGAACACCAGUGGCGAAGGCGGCCUGCUGGACUGUGACUGACGUUGAGGCUCGAAAGCGUGGGGAGCAAACAGGAUUAGAUACCCGAGUAGUC